UUCGCAAUGCCCGAAAGGGUGACGAAGCGACGCCGCGUGCGGGAAGAAGGCCUUCGGGUUGUAAACCGCUGUCGGGAGUUAAGAAAUGCAAGGGUGUUAACAGCAUCUUUGCUUGACUAAGGCUCCGGAGGAAGCCACGGCUAACUCUGUGCCAGCAGCCGCGGUAAUACAGAGGCGGCAAGCGUUGUUCGGAAUUAUUGGGCGUAAAGAGCACGUAGGCGGCUGUGUAAGUCGGUUGUGAAAGCCUUCCGCUCAACGGGAGAACGGCAUCCGAUACUGCAUGGCUUGAGUGCGGGAGGGGAGAGUGGAACUUCUGGUGGAGCGGUGAAAUGCGUAGAUAUCAGAAGGAACGCCGGCGGCGAAAGCGACUCUCUGGCCCGUAACUGACGCUGAGUGUGCGAAAGCUAGGGGAGCAAACGGGAUUAGAUACCCCGGUAGUCCUAGCCGUAAACGAUGGGCACUAAGUAGAGGGGUUUU
rnacentral:rRNA from 1 species